UAAAACAUAGUUUAUAUUUUAAUAUUUGGCUGUUAACCAAAAGAAGUUUUUUCUUUAAAACUGUUUUAA
rnacentral:tRNA from 1 species